rnacentral:lncRNA from 1 species
CAGAGUGAGACUCCACCUCAAAAAAAAGAAAAAAGGAAAACCAAGCAAAAGUCACUGUCAGGGGACCUCCCACCCACCAUACAGGGGAACACUCGGCAGAGCCAGAGGCCUGGGCCCAAGUCCUGCCACCAGCUGGCUGUGAAACUGUGGUACAGCACCUUGUGUCCUGCCACCAGCCGGCUGUGAAACUGGUACAGCACCUUGUCCUCAGGUCCUUGGUUUCCUCACUUGUAAAUUCAUGGUUCUCCAUGGCAUCUCUGGUCUUCAACAUUAUUUUGCAUAGAGUCUCAGAAGCUUUAGUGUGAGCGGAUGAUAUGGGCACGAAGCAAGGCACCCAGAAGUGGGGGCAACUACUCUGCUUUCUAAAAUGCAAGGGAACCGGAAAAUCCAGGAGCCGUGCCAAAUGAGAAGAGGAACAAAUGGAGGAACAUCCCAGUCAAGUGACAUUCCUAGUGACAUUCACCAGAACAGAGUCAAGCUUUGGAUCCCAUGUUCUGUGACUUCCUCUUCACCACGCUUCCUCCACACACGUAGCAGCUCAAGGGUUUCUGAUGAGUGGGGUCUAUGUUCCCUUUAUGAGCUGUAACGCACACCAUGAAGGUCUGCGGCUUGGCUAUUGAGUCAGUGAGAGCGUGAACCUACUAUUAGAAGAAAAACUCUGAAUACGUCUGAACGUCAGAAAGAACGAAGUUUGGACACAUUGUCUUUAAGAACUGUAACACUCACCCCAAGGGUUUAUGGAUUCAUUCUUGAAAUCAGUGAAACCAAAAGCUUUCCAAAGUUUAACACACAGGGAAAUGACUUACUGCAAAGAACCACUCUUCCCCACGAGACUUCGAGAAGACCCGCUGUCACGGACUGAGUUGUGUCCUCUUAAAAUUCAGAUGUUGGAGUCCAAACCCCCAGUAACUCAGAGUGUGAACGUAUUUGAAGAGGUCUUUAAAGAGGUGAUGAAGGGAGAGAGACCCCAUGAGCUCGUCAAGCUCCUUCUGUGACUGAUCAGAGAUCCCACCGUGAGUCCAGCUCCUGGUCCCAUGCUCUGGAUAUAUCGGUCCCUGGCAGCGUGGCUCCAUCUCCGUAGCCUGCUUUUGACAAAAGUGGAUACAUAAAUCUAGGGGCCACCUAGCUAGUUCUAAUAAGACUUUGGAAGUCAAAAGCUAAAGAAGACCAGGGGACCAAGCUGGAAAUCAGGCUCUGCAAUCAGAUUCCAGAGGGAAUGCCAUUCCACCCAAUCACCUAGCCACAACGGUUCCCUUCCUUCAAGAUGCUGCAUGCCUCUUCAGGCGAAUGGAUUACCUUCAACUCCUUAGCCAAAGACGUGGCAACUGCGGGUGAAGUAUCUCUGGGCAGGAAAUCAAUGCAGAAAUGCAACUGGGGAGAGGGGGCUUGGGGGCCAGUUCCAGGGAGAUUGGAACUGCUGUGUUCUCAUCAGCAGAAGUGGCCCCUGCCCACCCCCAUCCUAAUCCCUUCUCAUGUGGGAGAAGGUCUGUGAGCCCUCUCCCUACCAGGCAGGUUCUAUGGCAAUGUGGGCACAUACCCUGGGGCAGGGGCCGAGGGACUUAACUCACUUCAUGAGCGCCAAUGGAGGAGCGAAGGGAAUGCCUGAUGAAAACAACAUUCUACCAGUAUGCACUGUUUUCUAACCUACAGAGUGCCUCUGUGUUCACUGUCCCAUUUGAGAAUUCUAAGUAGAAUUCUGAACAGGCUGGAGCAGAUUGCCCACCCCAAGGGACAGAUGUUGGCUGGUACUGUUGGUAUUCAUGGAAGAUUCCUUCUGACACUCCCUCCUUCUUUGUAAUUGCCAUGAACUGGAGCACUGGGCCAAUAUAAAUCAUCCAAGGGUGAACACGCUGCACAUGGACGGCUCCUCUUUGUUUUUGAAGGGAUUCCAUCUCUAUUUUGCCAUGUGCUCCUUCACCCCACUCCCCACCCCCGUCUUUCAUUUCUUUCUCUGGAAAAGAUACUUCAACUCACAGGACUGCGAUGUUGAAACGGACACCCAAGAGCAUCACAGAUGGGCCAGGCCUGGACCUCUCGGGACAACAUUCCUCACGACUUUUAGAUAGAAGAGAUUAGAGAUUUGGGACUGGUGGCAACUGGUAACGUUUUCAGUGUUUGGUAAACAGCCAGGGUCCGGAGCUCUGGGAACAGCCUGAUUUAGCUCUUUGUUUAAGUUUUGUGUUAGAGGCUCCCAAGAAGCUGAUGCAGGGGAAAGAAAUUAACAACCAUGGCUCAUUCACAGCCAGGCAGCCAAAUGGACAGCUCUAUAAGACUCAAGCCGACAGCGGAGAGAGUGCAACCAAACAGCCUUGGCCCAGCUUUCAGAGGAGAACGUUAUUCACCCCAACUGCUCUGCAUCUGCCUGGAUGUCUGCCAAGAUCUGUGAGCAUUACAGCGUUGGUAUGCUUUGGGUGAGGCCUGUGGCUAUGGCAACAAGUUGGGAGCAACCCGGUCCCUGGGAAUGAGAACAGUGUCUAAAAUCAGGCAGGCGAGGGGCAGGGAGGAGAGGUAAAGGUUGGACUUGCCUGAAGAUGGAGCCGUUUUAUUGUUGUGGGUAAAGCUGCUACCAUUAGGGGCUGUUUACAGAGUGGGUGCAGCUCAAGCUGGGAGCAUGUUAGACUCAGCGACUACGAUCAACCUAUUGACUUGUUCCCAUGAGACAGAGUAAAUUAACUGUUGCAGUACUGGUCAUGUACCACCAACCUCCUGUGAACCAGCCCUCAGUGAAACAUUUAUGUGAAAGGCCAUGGUGUUCCCAUAAGAGGGUGCAUGUUCUCUCCCUUGACUAACUCUUCAGUAUGCCUCAUUCUCACGCGCUGGUGUGCAGGAAGGAGUCCAACAUGCCCCAUUGACAGUCAUGCCCUGUAUGUGGAAAGUCUUCAGGUAGAGCACUGGGCUCAGGUUUGAAGAUGUGAGUUCUAAUCCUAGCAAGGCCAUUACCUCCCAGUGACCUCAUGUCUCGAUUUCCUCAACCACAAAACAAAGGCAUUGGUGAGCUGACCUCUAAGGCCUCUCCAGUUCUCACCUUCUGUGUCUCUACAGACUGGAGACUAGAAGAUUAUGGGCACUUUUAUUGAGUCUUCAUUUUGUUUCCAUUUCUUUGUAGUCAUCAGCUGGAGUUGAGGACAAGUUUUAACAAUAGAUAGGUUUCUUUUUGUCUCUUUUUAAAAAAUUUUAUUUAAAAUAAAUGCCAAGUGUAGUGGCUCAUACCUGUAAUCCCAGCACUUUGGGGAGGCCAAGGUGGGAGGAUUGCUUUUGAGUUUGAGACCAGCCUGGGCAACGUGGUGAGACCCUGUUUGUACAAAAAAUUUUAAAUUAGCCAGGCAUGGUGGCGUGUGCCUAUAGUCCUAGCUACUCUGGAGGUAGAGGCAGGAGGAUCCCUUGAACCUGGGAGGUUGAGGCCACAGUGAGCUGUGAUUGUGCUAUUGAACUCUAGCCUGGGCAACAGAGCAAGACCCUGUCUCUUAAAAAAGACUAUUUUUUAAGAACACUUUUAGGUUCACAGCGAAAUUUGGAGGAAACUUGGCAUAUGUCAUAUGCCCCCUGCUCCCAUGCAUGCACAGCCUCUACCAUUAGCAAUGUCCCCACUCAAAUGGUACCUUUGUUGUAAUCAACAACCCUGUACUGACACAUCAUCAUCACCCAAACUCCAUAGUUCACAUUAGGUUUCACUCUUGGUGUGGUGUACAUUCCAUGGGCUUGAACAACUGUAUAAUGACAUUAUCCACCACUGCAGGAUCAUACAGAGUAGUCUCACUGCCCUAAAACUACUCUGUGCUCCACCUGUUUGUCCCUUCUUUCACUCUAAACUCCUGGCAACAACUGACCUUUUUACUGCCUCGAUAGCUUUGCCUUCUUCGGAAUGUCAUGUAGUUGAAAUCAUACAUCAUGAAGCCUUUUCAGAUUGGCUUCAUAUAGGUUUCCUUCCUUCCUUCCUCCCACCACCUUCCUUUCUUUCUGUAUUCCUAACUCUUGGAUGUAUUUUCCCCAGCAUCAUGACUUGAUGGGACUUUUGCUAAGAUAGGCAAUCAUAGAAAGUCAUAAAUCUCUUGUCAGCCUUAUUGGCUCACCUCCGAGAUGGUUCCAACACUCUUUAAGGCCCACUUUUCCAAUCCACAGAUUCCCCAGCAGAAGUCCAAGCUGCUGAGCCUCACAUCAUCUUUUGCACUAGUAAUCUUUACCACUACUUCACUGUAGCAUUUGAAAAUUUUCAUAUGAAGCCAUAGUUCUGUGUCUUUUUUUUUUUUUUUUUUUUUUUGGAGACGGAGUCUUAACCUGUUGCCCAGGCUGGAGUGCAGUGGCACAGUCUUAGCUCACUGCAAGCUCCGCCUCACGGGUUCAAGUGAUUCUUGCCUCAGCCUCCCAAGUAGCUGGGAUUACAGGCGCGCCACCAUGCCCAGCUAAAUUUGUUGGCAUUUUUAGUAGAGAUGGGGUUUCACCAUGUUGGCCAGGCUGGUCUCAAACUCCUUACCUCAGGUGAUCUGCCUGCCUCAGCCUCCCAAAGUGCUGGGAUUAAAGGUGUGAGCCACCGCACCUGGCCUGAAGCCAUAGUUCUUAACCUCAGUUGUGCAAUAGAAUUAUCUGGGGAAUUUAAAAAUUAGAAAAAACCCAUGCCCUGAAGAUUGUGAUCUAACUGGUCUUGCGUAGCGCCUGGGCAUUGGUAUUUUUUAAAUGUUUCCCAACUGAUACUAAUGUGGCCAUUCUGCAAGCCACAGUUGAAAGGCUUAUUCAAGCAUCCUGUUGCUGAAUGCAUGUCGUCCUUACCACAUGACUCUGGAGGUUUUCUUGUAUUCUGAUGUGGCUGCCCUGUUGAGGCCUGCCCCUUAGAGUGGAGAUUAUCCCCUGCAGUAGGCUGCCUGGAAUAUGAUCCCCAGUGAUCCCUGCUUCCUGGUAUUCAGGCCCUGGUGUGAUCCCUUUCCCUUGAAGCCUGGGCUGGAUUAGUGACUUGCUUCUAACCAACAGCAUAUGGCAAAAAUAAAUGUUUAUUGUUUUAAACCUCUGUUUUAGGGUCAUUUAUUACACAGCAAAGAUAAC